rnacentral:rRNA from 1 species
UACGUAGGUGGCGAGCGUUGUUCGGAUUCAUUGGGCGUAAAGGGUGCGUAGGCGGCGCGGUAAGUCGGGUGUGAAAUCUCGGAGCUUAACUCCGAAACUGCAUUCGAUACUGCCGUGCUUGAGGACUGGAGAGGAGACUGGAAUUUACGGUGUAGCGGUGAAAUGCGUAGAUAUCGGAAGGAACAUCAGUGGCGAAGGCGACUUCCUGGACCAAUACUGACGCUCAGGUGACGAAAGGCGUGGGGAGCAAACAGG